UACGAAGGGGGCUAGCGUUGCUCGGAAUCACUGGGCGUAAAGGGUGCGUAGGCGGGCUAUUAAGUCAGUGGUGAAAGCCCCAAGCUUAACUUGGGAACUGCCAUUGAUACUGAUGGUCUUGAGUACAUUUGAGGUGGGCGGAAUGUGUCAUGUAGCGGUGAAAUGCUUAGAUAUGACACAGAACACCGAUUGCGAAGGCAGCUCACUAAACUGUAACUGACGCUGAGGCACGAAAGCGUGGGGAGCAAACAGG
rnacentral:rRNA from 1 species